rnacentral:rRNA from 1 species
AUUGAACGCUGGCGGCAUGCUUUACACAUGCAAGUCGAACGGCAGCGCGGGCUUCGGCCUGGCGGCGAGUAGCGAGCGGGUGAGUAAUACAUCGGAACGUGCCCAGUAGUGGGGGAUAGCUCGGCGAAAGCCGGAUUAAUACCGCAUACGACCUGAGGGUGAAAGCGGGGGAUCUUCGGACCUCGCGCUAUUGGAGCGGCCGAUGGCAGAUUAGCUAGUUGGUGGGGUAAAGGCCUACCAAGGCGACGAUCUGUAGCUGGUCUGAGAGGACGACCAGCCACACUGGGACUGAGACACGGCCCAGACUCCUACGGGAGGCAGCAGUGGGGAAUUUUGGACAAUGGGCGAAAGCCUGAUCCAGCAAUGCCGCGUGUGUGAUGAAGGCCUUCGGGUUGUAAAGCACUUUUGGCGGGAACGAAAAGGACUGUGCCAAUACCACGGUUCGAUGACGGUACCCGCAGAAUAAGCACCGGCUAACUACGUG